rnacentral:sRNA from 1 species
GACGCAGUAUGACCCAGCAUGUUUCAGAGCUAUGCUGGAAACAGCAUAGCAAGUUGAAAUAAGGCUAGUCCGUUAUCAACUUGAAAAAGUGGCACCGAGUCGGUGCUUUUUUU